UGUUCUCCCCAGAGCCCUGCGUGAAGAGCAGCUGGUACUGUUGAUUUGGGAAGUUGGCUGGAAAAAACUUAUUCAUGAAGGGGCUGGAAGGAAAGACAAAGCAAGUUGGCAAACAGAACCCCUGUGGGCAAUCACAGCCCCAACCCCAGCCCAGCCAGGCACCAUUUACUGUUGAUAGCCCCUGCAACCUCAAGGCUGCCCUGAUGGGGAUAAUAACAUCACCUGACUCAAAGAGCUGCUACAAAGAUACGAGGGACAGCAGGUGAAACACUUAGCCCAGCACUGGACUUGCAGCUGGACCACAUGCCACUAUCUACCCAAACGACAAAUGGAGAUGCUACUUGACCUGGAGAUCUCACUGCAUAUAUACCUGAAAACAUGCCAUGAUAUUUGCAUGAAGAUGUUCACAGCUGCUCUGCUGUGACAUCCCAACACUGGAUACACCUCAUAUCCCUCAGCAGUAAUCCACAAAACAGGAUCAUGAGCAGCUGUUAAAAAGAGUGAGGCAGAUCUGUGUUGAUACAGAAAGAUCUCCACAUA